GGCUGGUCCGAUGGUAGUGGGUUAUCAGAAUUUAUUAACAUUAGUGUCACUAAAGUUGGAAAGUUGGUAUUCAACCCCCCACUGCUAAAUUUGACUGGCUUUUA
rnacentral:Y_RNA from 1 species